UUAAGCGACUAAGCGUACACGGUGGAUGCCCUGGCAGUCAGAGGCGAUGAAGGACGUGCUAAUCUGCGAUAAGCGUCGGUAAGGUGAUAUGAACCGUUAUAACCGGCGAUUUCCGAAUGGGGAAACCCAGUGUGUUUCGACACACUAUCAUUAACUGAAUCCAUAGGUUAAUGAGGCGAACCGGGGGAACUGAAACAUCUAAGUACCCCGAGGAAAAGAAAUCAACCGAGAUUCCCCCAGUAGCGGCGAGCGAACGGGGAGCAGCCCAGAGCCUGAAUCAGUGUGUGUGUUAGUGGAAGCGUCUGGAAAGGCGCGCGAUACAGGGUGACAGCCCCGUACACAAAAAUGCACAUACUGUGAGCUCGAUGAGUAGGGCGGGACACGUGGUAUCCUGUCUGAAUAUGGGGGGACCAUCCUCCAAGGCUAAAUACUCCUGACUGACCGAUAGUGAACCAGUACCGUGAGGGAAAGGCGAAAAGAACCCCGGCGAGGGGAGUGAAAAAGAACCUGAAACCGUGUACGUACAAGCAGUGGGAGCACGCUUAGGCGUGUGACUGCGUACCUUUUGUAUAAUGGGUCAGCGACUUAUAUUCUGUAGCAAGGUUAACCGAAUAGGGGAGCCGAAGGGAAACCGAGUCUUAACUGGGCGUUAAGUUGCAGGGUAUAGACCCGAAACCCGGUGAUCUAGCCAUGGGCAGGUUGAAGGUUGGGUAACACUAACUGGAGGACCGAACCGACUAAUGUUGAAAAAUUAGCGGAUGACUUGUGGCUGGGGGUGAAAGGCCAAUCAAACCGGGAGAUAGCUGGUUCUCCCCGAAAGCUAUUUAGGUAGCGCCUCGUGAAUUCAUCUCCGGGGGUAGAGCACUGUUUCGGCAAGGGGGUCAUCCCGACUUACCAACCCGAUGCAAACUGCGAAUACCGGAGAAUGUUAUCACGGGAGACACACGGCGGGUGCUAACGUCCGUCGUGAAGAGGGAAACAACCCAGACCGCCAGCUAAGGUCCCAAAGUCAUGGUUAAGUGGGAAACGAUGUGGGAAGGCCCAGACAGCCAGGAUGUUGGCUUAGAAGCAGCCAUCAUUUAAAGAAAGCGUAAUAGCUCACUGGUCGAGUCGGCCUGCGCGGAAGAUGUAACGGGGCUAAACCAUGCACCGAAGCUGCGGCAGCGACGCUUAUGCGUUGUUGGGUAGGGGAGCGUUCUGUAAGCCUGCGAAGGUGUGCUGUGAGGCAUGCUGGAGGUAUCAGAAGUGCGAAUGCUGACAUAAGUAACGAUAAAGCGGGUGAAAAGCCCGCUCGCCGGAAGACCAAGGGUUCCUGUCCAACGUUAAUCGGGGCAGGGUGAGUCGACCCCUAAGGCGAGGCCGAAAGGCGUAGUCGAUGGGAAACAGGUUAAUAUUCCUGUACUUGGUGUUACUGCGAAGGGGGGACGGAGAAGGCUAUGUUGGCCGGGCGACGGUUGUCCCGGUUUAAGCGUGUAGGCUGGUUUUCCAGGCAAAUCCGGAAAAUCAAGGCUGAGGCGUGAUGACGAGGCACUACGGUGCUGAAGCAACAAAUGCCCUGCUUCCAGGAAAAGCCUCUAAGCAUCAGGUAACAUCAAAUCGUACCCCAAACCGACACAGGUGGUCAGGUAGAGAAUACCAAGGCGCUUGAGAGAACUCGGGUGAAGGAACUAGGCAAAAUGGUGCCGUAACUUCGGGAGAAGGCACGCUGAUAUGUAGGUGAAGUCCCUCGCGGAUGGAGCUGAAAUCAGUCGAAGAUACCAGCUGGCUGCAACUGUUUAUUAAAAACACAGCACUGUGCAAACACGAAAGUGGACGUAUACGGUGUGACGCCUGCCCGGUGCCGGAAGGUUAAUUGAUGGGGUUAGCGCAAGCGAAGCUCUUGAUCGAAGCCCCGGUAAACGGCGGCCGUAACUAUAACGGUCCUAAGGUAGCGAAAUUCCUUGUCGGGUAAGUUCCGACCUGCACGAAUGGCGUAAUGAUGGCCAGGCUGUCUCCACCCGAGACUCAGUGAAAUUGAACUCGCUGUGAAGAUGCAGUGUACCCGCGGCAAGACGGAAAGACCCCGUGAACCUUUACUAUAGCUUGACACUGAACAUUGAGCCUUGAUGUGUAGGAUAGGUGGGAGGCUUUGAAGUGUGGACGCCAGUCUGCAUGGAGCCGACCUUGAAAUACCACCCUUUAAUGUUUGAUGUUCUAACGUGGACCCGUAAUCCGGGUUGCGGACAGUGUCUGGUGGGUAGUUUGACUGGGGCGGUCUCCUCCUAAAGAGUAACGGAGGAGCACGAAGGUUGGCUAAUCCUGGUCGGACAUCAGGAGGUUAGUGCAAUGGCAUAAGCCAGCUUGACUGCGAGCGUGACGGCGCGAGCAGGUGCGAAAGCAGGUCAUAGUGAUCCGGUGGUUCUGAAUGGAAGGGCCAUCGCUCAACGGAUAAAAGGUACUCCGGGGAUAACAGGCUGAUACCGCCCAAGAGUUCAUAUCGACGGCGGUGUUUGGCACCUCGAUGUCGGCUCAUCACAUCCUGGGGCUGAAGUAGGUCCCAAGGGUAUGGCUGUUCGCCAUUUAAAGUGGUACGCGAGCUGGGUUUAGAACGUCGUGAGACAGUUCGGUCCCUAUCUGCCGUGGGCGCUGGAGAAUUGAGGGGGGCUGCUCCUAGUACGAGAGGACCGGAGUGGACGCAUCACUGGUGUUCGGGUUGUCAUGCCAAUGGCACUGCCCGGUAGCUAAAUGCGGAAGAGAUAAGUGCUGAAAGCAUCUAAGCACGAAACUUGCCCCGAGAUGAGUUCUCCCUGACUCCUUGAGAGUCCUGAAGGAACGUUGAAGACGACGACGUUGAUAGGCCGGGUGUGUAAGCGCAGCGAUGCGUUGAGCUAACCGGUACUAAUGAACCGUGAGGCUUAACCUU
rnacentral:rRNA from 1 species